rnacentral:snoRNA from 1 species
UUGCCCAAUGAUUAUAGCAAGACGCGUUAUUAUGAGGACUAAUGCUGGAACUCUUUCUCCUCCUCUUCUUCCUUCUUUGUCCCUUUCUCUUUCACCUUACCCCUCACUUUCCUUAGGGUAUCCAGCGUCCUAUGAGCAAGACUGAGAUAUGAGGGCAA